rnacentral:rRNA from 1 species
UACGGAGGAUCCGAGCGUUAUCCGGAUUUAUUGGGUUUAAAGGGUGCGCAGGCGGAAGAUUAUGUCGGUGGUGAAAUUUUGCAGCUCAACUGUAAAAGUGCCAUUGAUACUGGUUUUCUUGAGUGUGGAUGAAGUAGGCGGAAUUUGUGGUGUAGCGGUGAAAUGCAUAGAUAUCACGAGGAACUCCGAUUGCGCAGGCAGCUUACUAAACCAUAACUGACGCUCAGGCACGAAGGCGUGGGGAUCAAACAGGAUUAGA